rnacentral:rRNA from 1 species
UACGUAGGGUGCGAGCGUUGUCCGGAAUUAUUGGGCGUAAAGGGCUCGUAGGCGGUCUGUUGCGUCGGGAGUGAAAACUCAGGGCUUAACCCUGAGCCUGCUUCCGAUACGGGCAGACUAGAGGUAUGCAGGGGAGAACGGAAUUCCUGGUGUAGCGGUGAAAUGCGCAGAUAUCAGGAGGAACACCGGUGGCGAAGGCGGUUCUCUGGGCAUUACCUGACGCUGAGGAGCGAAAGUGUGGGGAGCGAACAGGAUUAGAUACCUGGUAGUCC